CAAGUGCUCAGGGUGGUUCUGCUGCAGGGAACUACUGGCUGAUGGAUACAUGGAUUCCGUUAUCCACCCAUUCUUUGAUUCCUGCAUUCACUCAUCCAACCCUAAAGGAAGUAACCAAAACAAAGACAAUUCCAUGUGUAAGCAUGACAUAUCUUCUCUGCCUUCUCUACCCAGCAAAGUGAUAUGAAAAUGCAUUGUGAACGUGUUUAUAAAUCAAGCUCCUUUUCCAUCAGGUAGAAUUCCUAGCGCUGUCAGCUAAAAUGAAGGUUUCUUCAAGAUGGGCCUCCAGGGCUAUUGCAAAACAGCUGCUGAUGGAAGGAAAUUCCACUUGCUGUGCCUUAUACCAGGCCGGGAGUGUCACAAGAGCCCUUUACAAGCUGCUCCCACACUGACCAAAAUUGUCUUCUCGUGAGUGCAAAGCAGGCAAGUCCAAGGGGCUCAGGUUAGCAUGGUGCAGGGCUCCGCUGGGAAGGUGAGGGGUUAUCGUCGCGGGGGAGUGUCGACUAACUGGGCUGGUGGUGCAGGGGUAGAAGAAUUUACCAAGACAGUUGUAGGUAAAGAAAGGCAGAUUUAUUAGAGAAAGUAGGAAAAUACAUUUCGAGAAGGCAACGGGCAGCCUGCAAGAGAGGAGCCGACUGCAAAGAAACAAAGGCUUGCUGGAGAUUUUACAGGAUGGUUUUUGGGCUGAUUGAGAAAGCCAAGGCAGUAGGGAGCUAACUUGCAUUCUUCUGUCAGCUGGGGUGUUUGAUAAAUUGAGGCGUUUGAUAGUGAGCAGGAAGUUUGUGAGUUAUGUAUGUUAUCUGUGCAGGAAGCCGCAUGUCCUGGGCUAUAAAGAAAAGCAGACCUAUAGCUUAUCUGCUUCCUCUUUUUGUUUACAUGUUCUGGACCAUGAAGAAAGACAAAUUUGUAGCUUAUUUGCUUUCUCUCUUUGCCUUCCCCUGCUCCAGCCAGCCUGACUUCUUUUUUCUAAUUAGGACUCCACAGUUAUGUUGUCCCUGUGCCUGCAGCCUGUGAAUGGACGCCCCACCACCUCCGUCACAGCAGUGGUCAGCAUAGAUAAAUGCACAGAACACACAUCGCUCUGGCCCUCUGAGAAGAGAAUGUUAGGCUUCUGAAAGAAGAGAUAAGUACUGAGAGAUAACAUCUAAGAAUCAAAAUAAUAUAUUCAGUAAUUAUUUUCUGAACCACUGACCUAUCCUAAUGCUCUGACCGAUACAUUCUUUACAACAUCUACCCGUACAUUCCAAGGACCCUUUUUCCAGGGCCCUUUUUCUCCCUCCAUCCCUCUUCCUGCUCCCCCCCUUUUGCACAGGGCAUGUUUCACAUAUACAAGAUGUCUUUACGUGUCAUCCCACUUUAGAGAUGAGGAAAUUGAGUCUCAGGGAGGGUAAACAUCAACUUUGUCUUGGGGAAAGGGCAGGAAGCUGGAGGAGAGGAGGAAAUGAGCUCCGGAGAAGGACAGAGGACAUGGCUGGGAUCCUUAUGGGGUGGUGUAAGGGUACUCGUGCCCCAGGAUCUGUGGGGUGAGGGUGGCGGUGACCAGUGCUAGGACCAGCUCCUCCUCUCUCGCUCCCAAGCCCACAAGAAGGCGGGGAGAAAGGGUGAGGUAGGGGGCUUCGGGAGAGCGGAGAGAGUUUGGAAAAAAUCCAUCCCUCCUCCCCGGCGGCUUUCCGGAGACCCUCACACAGCGCCCCCCGCCCCGCCCCGCCCCAGUACAUUUCCUUUCAGGGCUAAAGGCACAGGGAAGAGGCUGCCGGGAAAUGGCGGCCGCGGCCGGGCUGGGGCUUCAGCGGGAGGCAGCAGAGGGGAAGUGGCCAGCGUGGCGAAUAACGGAAGAAACUCACAUUGCUUGCUGGAUCAAGGACAGACAGCUCACCGACCAUGACAGCACCAUAUUGGAACUUCAAAAAGUUCUGAAAACAUGUUGGUUCGUUCGUUGGAGUAUUUUUCAACUCCAAUUCCUUUUCCUUUUUUUUUUUUUUUUUUUUUGCGCACUUUUUCCUCUGCAGAAAAACCUUAAAAUGUUCUACCUUUUCCUUGAAACCUCCCCCCACUCCUUAGUUCACAUUGAUUUGUCUUUAAAUGUUUUUGAGCAAAUAAUCAGAAAUGCACAAUUA